UACGAAGGGGGCUAGCGUUGCUCGGAAUCACUGGGCGUAAAGGGCGCGUAGGCGGCUGUUCAAGUCGGGGGUGAAAGCCUGUGGCUCAACCACAGAAUGGCCUUCGAUACUGGACGGCUCGAGACCGGAAGAGGUCAGUGGAACUGCGAGUGUAGAGGUGAAAUUCGUAGAUAUUCGCAAGAACACCAGUGGCGAAGGCGGCUGACUGGUCCGGUUCUGACGCUGAGGCGCGAAAGCGUGGGGAGCAAACAGG
rnacentral:rRNA from 2 species